CCUACGGGUGGCAGCAGUGAGGAAUAUUGGUCAAUGGGCGUGAGCCUGAACCAGCCAAGUCGCGUGAGGGAUGAAGGUUCUAUGGAUCGUAAACCUCUUUUAUCAGGGAAUAAAGUGCGGGACGUGUCCCUUUUUGUAUGUACCUUAUGAAUAAGGAUCGGCUAACUCCGUGCCAGCAGCCGCGGUAAUACGGAGGAUCCGAGCGUUAUCCGGAUUUAUUGGGUUUAAAGGGUGCGUAGGCGGGCUGUUAAGUCAGCUGUGAAAGUCUGUGGCUCAACCAUAGAAUUGCCGUUGAAACUGGCAGGCUUGAGUAUGUUUGAGGCAGGCGGAAUGCGUGGUGUAGCGGUGAAAUGCUUAGAUAUCACGCAGAACCCCGAUUGCGAAGGCAGCCUACCAAGCCAUGACUGACGCUGAUGCACGAAAGCGUGGGGAUCAAACAGGAUUAGAUACCCGGGUAGUC
rnacentral:rRNA from 1 species